GUGGAGCAAUGAACCACAAAUUCAGAUAAUUUCCAAGAAGCGUUCUCCAAGGCAAAGAAGCAUUGAAACAAAAAUACAGCAUGCAUGGUGUUCUGGAAAGUAAGAUUUACGACUUAUAUGACCUUUAUGUUGAGUCAAGGAACUGAAGAAGGAGAAGAUUCUAGUACGAGAUGCGGAGACAGUUACUAGCUUACACCAUACAUUUGAUGUGUUGCGAUCUUUUGUGGACUACGUUGUUGAGUUGCAGUUGCUAAGACCAACCUAAUCCAUCUGAUGACAACCUAAUCCAUAUGAUGACAGCCUAAUCCAUCUGAUGAUUUGAAAUCUAAAGAGAAAAAUGAAAAGAUGCAACGCAACAUUAAAGCUGACAAAGUAUGUUCUCGCUUACUUAUCUCUCUCUCUCUCUCUCUCUGUCUCUCGCAUACCGCUUGAUCUCUCGUCCACUAGUAUUCCAGGAGAGUCGCUUUUUGUCUUCACUUUAAUUAUGCGGACUUCUAGUUUUAGAUCAAUAAGGGGAAGAUGAAAGGGGAAGAGUAGUUGCUUUUCAAGGCGAGGAAUGAUACUUAUUCUGUGGACUCCUUUAGUUCAACCUAAAGGAAGGAGUUGUGUGGUACUUCUCCUUGCUUGAUAUCAUAGAAAUAAAGUAGGGAAGAAAGAUUGAUUUUUUAUGUUUACACGUUCAAAAUCAUCUCUUUUUUAUGGAAAAGAAAGCAAAUU